GUCCGCCUACGGGGGGCAGCAGUGAGGAAUAUUGGUCAAUGGACGCAAGUCUGAACCAGCCAUGCCGCGUGCGGGAAGACGGCUCUAUGGGUUGUAAACUGCUUUUGUACGAGGGUAAACGCAGAUACGCGUAUCUGCCUGAAAGUAUCGUACGAAUAAGGAUCGGCUAACUCCGUGCCAGCAGCCGCGGUAAUACGGAGGAUUCAAGCGUUAUCCGGAUUUAUUGGGUUUAAAGGGUGCGUAGGCGGUCGGAUAAGUUAGAGGUGAAAUCCCGAGGCGCAACUUCGGAAUUGCCUC
rnacentral:rRNA from 1 species